rnacentral:rRNA from 1 species
CCUACGGGUGGCAGCAGUGGGGAAUAUUGCACAAUGGGGGAAACCCUGAUGCAGCGACGCCGCGUGAGUGAAGAAGUAAUUCGUUAUGUAAAGCCCUAUCAGCAGGGAAGAAAAUGACGGUACCUGAGUAAGAAGCCCUGGAUAACUACGUGACAGCAGCCGCGGUAAGACGCAGGGGGCAAGCGUUAUCCGGAUUUACUGGGUGUAAAGGGAGUGUAGACGGCAGUGCAAGUCUGGAGUGAAAGGCGGGGGCUCAACCCCCGGACUGCUCUGGAAACUGUACGGCUGGAGUGAAGGAGAGGUAAGUGGAAUUCCUAGUGUAGCGGUGAAAUGCGUAGAUAUUAGGAGGAACACCAGUGGCGAAGGCGGCUUACUGGACUGUAACUGACGUUGAGGCUCGAAAGCGUGGGUAGCAAACAGGAUUAGAUACCCGAGUAGUC